UACGUAGGGUGCAAGCGUUAAUCGGAAUUACUGGGCGUAAAGCGUGCGCAGGCGGUUGUGCAAGACAGAUGUGAAAUCCCCGGGCUUAACCUGGGAAUGGCGUUUGAAACUACGGAGCUGGAGUGUGGCAGAGGGAGGUAGAAUUCCACGUGUAGCGGUGAAAUGCGUAGAUAUGUGGAGGAAUACCGAUGGCGAAGGCAGCCUCCUGGGCCAACACUGACGCUCAUGCACGAAAGCGUGGGGAGCAAACAGG
rnacentral:rRNA from 1 species